rnacentral:rRNA from 1 species
CACGUGAAAGGCGUGUUUCUCUCACGAGCAGUUUGCAAGGUGCUGCAUGGUGGUCGUCAGCUCGUGCCGUGAGGUGUCGGGUUAAGUCCCAUAACGAGCGCAACCCCUAUCAUUAGUUGCCAUCAGGUAAAGCGGGGGACUCUAAUGAAACUGCCUACGCAAGUAGUGAGGAAGGUGGGGAUGACGUCAAAUCAGCACGGCCCUUAUGUCUAGGGCUACACACGUGCUACAAUGGUCGAUACAAUGGGUCGCUACCUGGUGACAGGAUGCUAAUCUCAAAAGUCGAUCUCAGUUCGGAUCGAAGUCUGCAACUCGACUUCGUGAAGUUGGAUUCGCUAGUAAUCGUAUAUCAGCAAUGAUACGGUGAAUACGUUCCCGGGCCUUGUACACACCGCCCGUCAAGCCAUGGAAGUUGGGGAUACCUGAAGUCAGUGACCGCAAGGAGCUGCCUAGGGUAAAAUCAAUAACUGGGGCUAAGUCGUAACAAGGUA